rnacentral:misc_RNA from 1 species
GGGAAAUACAAUGUCGAACGAAGCCCCAGCAAAACCACCGUGCGACACACCGGAGCAUGACUCAGCCGGCGUCAACGGCUUUGACAUCAACAACGACACUUCAAGUUCUGCCUUAGCAAAGGGCCUUUCCACUAUAAUAUCUUCUCUAAUCCGGGAAUUUGAUGAUAGUGCUGCCGCCACCUCUCGUAGUCAAGAUCAACUCUCUUCCACCCUCGAUCGUCUCACUGGAGAGCUUGACAAGCUGCUGGAAGAUGCCCCAUUGCCUUUUAUCAUGCAGCAUGCUGCCAGAAUUUCUGGUGUUAGGAAAAGAAUUACAUCGUUGAACUCACUUUUGAAGUCUAUACAGAGGCGUCUUGAUAAUAUCGACCACACAUUAUCUGCUGGUUUGUUACAUGAGAAGUCCUCAGGGGAUGGUGGGCGAGACCAUGAGAAUCAUAAGUCUUCAUUGAAGAGUUCAUGAUCAAAAUCCAGGAGAAGAUUCAAAUGUCCUUUGCAGUGCCCGUAGAAAUCUCCUUCUGAUUGCAAGCAUUUGGAACUGAUUCAGCCUUGUGGUGUAAAAGGUAGUCUGAUGCAUGAGGUUAUAACACACUGCGUUCUGAAAAGAUGUUCUUUUACCUGUCAAAAAAUUGCAUGGUUUCAGCUCUGUGUCAUACUACGUCUGAGUUGUCCAGGAAAGCAAAACAUUAUAAAAUGGAAAACCUAUGGUGACUGUUUUAGCAGCUCAGCUGGUGUAGGCCUUUAGGGCAAUUUGAAGGGUGUAUCUUUGUUAAACUUAAUUCUUAUAUUCUGCUCAGG